AGCCGGGAUAGAACCGGGACAGAACCGGGACAGAACCGGGAUAGAGCCGGGAUAGAACCGGGACAGAACCGGGAUAGAGCCGGGAUAGAGCCGGGACAGAACCGGGACAGAGCGGAGAGAGAGCGGGGAGAGAACCGGGACAGAACCGGGACAGAGCGGGGACAGAACCGGGACAGAGCGGGGAUAGAGCCGGGAGAGAACCGGGAUAGAGCCGGGACAGAGCCGGGACAGAACCGGGACAGAGCGGGGACAGAGCGGGGACAGAACCGGGACAGAGCCGGGACAGAGCUGGGACAGAGCCGGGAUAGAGCCGGGAGAGAACCGGGAUAGAGCGAUCCUGAGGGUGUAAUUGUAAUUCCAGAGCUCGGCGGAGCUGCGGCUCCCCGUGCCCCGCAGCGGAGCGAUGCUGCCGCGGUGAUCCCCGCGUGGGGAGCGGGACGCGGUCCCUGAGCCUGGGACGCCCCCGUGGGGACACGCUCCGCCACUGGAGAGCGGGGACAAGAGCCCCGAGGGGCUCCCGUGGCUUUGAUCUCUGCCCUGCUCGCUCUGAAGGUCGGCUGAGGUCUUAAACUCUCCUGGCAACGAGCGGCACAGCGGGUCCUGCUCAGCCAAUGGAAAAAUGGGAUUGCUUGGAAUGUCUCUGGCUCCUGCUGGCUCCGUAUUGACCGUGGCUUCCCCCAGACUCUGCUGAACAUUCCUCAUUUGCUCCCUGUUGGUGUCUCUGCUCAGAGCUGCUCAUUUUUUUCCCCCGUUCUCCUUCCUCGAGCUGCCCUUUUUCCAAAAUAAAACCAUCAUUCCUUGUUUGCCUCUUGUUUCCUGUGGGCACUUUUCAUCCUGGCAGGUCUGGGGUUGCCGUUUCUGCUGGAGUGAUCCCGCUGAUCAUGGAAAUGGGCAGAAAGAGGAGCACAGCCAGUGCCUUUGGAAGCACCUUUGGUCAUAAACACUGAGCUGUUUUCUUGGCACUGCAGCUGGAGCCCUCAGUGAGUGCUGCUCACACUCUGGCUGUGCUUUAUUUACGACUGCCACACUUAUCACUGCCCCGAGAACUGCACAACUCUGGACCUGCAAUAAUUACUUAACCCAGCUUCAGCAUUCACUUGUCUGACGUGGCUGUGAUCAGUUAAAAGGUGGAGAAAUUCUCUUGUUCUCAGCUGCCUCCUGCUUUUCUCGUGUGGCUCUCGCCGGGAGCUUCACCUUCACACAGUCAUGGAAUCUGUGAGGUUGGAAAAGAUCUUUGGGAUCAUCGAGUCCAACCUUGGUCCUCACCUUGUCCCCAGCCCAGAGCACUUUGCCACCUCCAGUCACUCCAAACCACCCUGGGAAGUUCCUUGUAAUGCUUGACCACCCUUUCCAUGAUGAAAAUUUUCCUGGAUUUUCCUGCUUCAGAAGCAGCUCCAUCCCCUGCUGUUGGUGCAUCUCCUGUUGGAACCAGCCUCUGUCCUGGAGAGUGUGGAAGCCACCGCUGGGCUGAGAUAAAUGAAAGUCAUUUAGACUCUGUAAGUGCUGUUGGGUCCUCUUGGUGAAUUGUAAUAAAUAUCUGAGCUGAGCUAGAGCUCAUAAAUAAAAGAGAGAAAUGAACCAA